AUUCAUACAUGUUUGGAACAAAAUGAGGCGGAUGCCAAACGAGAUGCAAAAGCCAAGUCCGCUGAGGAUGGCGAUGAUGUAACGUUUGGGGAGGCCAAAGCAGCCACAAUCAAAAAAGGGAAUUACUUUCAUCUGUCUAUUUUGAAAUGCACACCUGAGUUCUUCUACACACAGAGGAAGGAGCUCACUAAAAGCUGGACACUGGAGGAUUGUGAAUGGAGGAUCAAGAAGCAUCAUUUCAAGAGCCUGUUCCUGAUGUUUGUGAAGCAUUGUUAUUGCACAUAAGCCACUUUAAGGUUCCCCAGAGAGUCACCCACACUGUUCUUCAACUCCUCCUUCCCCG